AGAAUCAACGCUGGCGGCGUGCCUAACACAUGCAAGUCGAACGAGAAAGUGGAGCAAUCCAUGAGUACAGUGGCGUACGGGUGAGUAACACGUGACUACCUACCCUCGAGUGGGGAAUAACCUCGGGAAACCGGGGCUAAUACCGCAUAACAUCUACGGAUCAAAUGCGUAAGCAGCUUGAGGAGGGGGUCGCGGCCGAUUAGCUAGUUGGUGAGGUAAUGACCCACCAAGGCAAUGAUCGGUA
rnacentral:rRNA from 1 species